rnacentral:rRNA from 1 species
GAUGAACGCUAGCGGCAGGCCUAACACAUGCAAGUCGAGGGAGAAGCCUUUCGGGGCAGCACCCGGCGCACGGGUGCGUAACGCGUAUGCAACCUACCUUUCACAGGGGGAUAGCCCGAAGAAAUUUGGAUUAAUACCCCAUAAUAUUGUUGGAUGGCAUCAUCUGAUAAUUAAAACUGCGGUGGUGAAAGAUGGGCAUGCGUCCUAUUAGCUAGUUGGAGUGGUAACGGCACCCCAAGGCUACGAUAGGUAGGGGUCCUGAGAGGGAGAUCCCCCACACUGGUACUGAGACAGGGACCAGACUCCUACGGGAGGCAGCAGUGAGGAAUAUUGGUCAAUGGUCGGAAGACUGAACCAGCCAUGCCGCGUGCAGGAAGAAUGCCUUAUGGGUUGUAAACUGCUUUUAUAUGGGAAGAAUAAGGUGUACGUGUACAUUGAUGACGGUACCAUAUGAAUAAGCAUCGGCUAACUCCGUG